GCAAACUUGGUCAUUUAGAGGAAGUAAAAGUCGUAACAAGGUUUCCGUAGGUGAACCUGCGGAAGGAUCAUUAUUGAAAUGAAAAAAAAUUGAAUUGGAGUUGCUGAUUCUUUUAAGAGUUAUGCACACUUCCAUUCAUUUUCUCCAACCACCUGUGCAUCUUUUGUAAACCUGAAUUUCUUUCUUUCAAGUUUAGACACUUGGUUUUGAAAAGUAGCGUCUGCAGCUUUUCUUGUGGGCGGGGGUUCAGGUUUAUGUUGCUUUCAUACACACAUUUUAGUAUUUAUAUCAGAAUGUUGAAAUUUAAAUGAACUUUAAACAACUUUCAACAACGGAUCUCUUGGCUCUCGCAUCGAUGAAGAACGCAGC
rnacentral:misc_RNA from 1 species